rnacentral:rRNA from 1 species
AUUGAACGCUAGCGGGAUGCUUUACACAUGCAAGUCGAACGGCAGCGCGGACUUCGGUCUGGCGGCGAGUGGCGAACGGGUGAGUAAUGUAUCGGAACGUGCCCAGUAGCGGGGGAUAACUACGCGAAAGCGUAGCUAAUACCGCAUACGCCCUACGGGGGAAAGCAGGGGAUCGUAAGACCUUGCACUAUUGGAGCGGCCGAUAUCGGAUUAGCUAGUUGGUGAGGUAACGGCUCACCAAGGCGACGAUCCGUAGCUGGUUUGAGAGGACGACCAGCCACACUGGGACUGAGACACGGCCCAGACUCCUACGGGAGGCAGCAGUGGGGAAUUUUGGACAAUGGGGGCAACCCUGAUCCAGCCAUCCCGCGUGUGCGAUGAAGGCCUUCGGGUUGUAAAGCACUUUUGGCAGGAAAGAAACGUCGCGGGCUAAUACCCCGUGGAACUGACGGGACCUGCAGAAGAAGCACCGGCUAACUACGU